AUGCCCCCGCCGCGCAGCUGCGCUCCGAACAGUCCAGAAGGCACGGGAAUGCGUCAGGCGCUUUUCCCCGCGAUGCCUGGGCCCACCUACCAGGCCCAGGCCCAAUGGGCUUCUGACCGUGCGCUUUCUCGCUACCUGCAGGAGCUCGACGAGAUGAAGCGUAGGCUCAAGGAGAUGGAGGAGGAGGCCGCCGCCCUGCGCGACAUGCAGGCCAAGGUCGCCAAGGAGAUGCAAGGAGGAGAUGCCAAUGCGUCUACAGCUGAGGCAAAGGAGCAGGUGGAUGCUCGCUCUGUUUAUGUUGGAAAUGUUGAUUAUGCGUGUACACCAGAGGAAGUGCAGCAGCAUUUCCAAGCUUGCGGAACUGUCAACAGAGUGACAAUCUUGACCGACAAGUUUGGACAGCCAAAAGGCUUUGCUUACGUGGAAUUUCUAGAACAAGAAGCUGUUCAGGAGGCUCUUAAUCUGAAUGAAUCUGAGUUGCAUGGUCGCCAGAUCAAGGUGUCACCAAAGAGGACUAACGUCCCUGGGAUGAAGCAGCGUCCUCCACGCGGAUUCAAUCCCUAUCAUGCCUACCCCUAUAGAUCAUACGGGGCACCGUAUUUCCCGCCGUAUGGAUAUGGGAGAGUUCCCAGAUUCCGCCGGCCGACACGCUACAGGCCGUACUUCUGAGAGGACAAGGCUUUCAUGAAGUUCAACGCAAUGCCAGUAGCCAUACUGCGGAAUAAUCUAGCUGCCGCUGUUUCAGUUACAUUGUUUGACUGGUAGACAUAAUCUGACGACGGUCGAAUGCCCCUAUCGUGUCAUCUUAAGCUCUGUUGUACCUGUGGGCUUGCAGUAUGCGUUCAGUCGUGUGGUGAAGUUGGUUUGCUGUACUUGGUAGUCGUAUUGUCUGACGUGGUUAUUAUGUUGGCCCGAAUGAAGUUAUGAUGCCAUGUUCUGAUGUCAAACUUUAAAAGAAACUGCAAUUCUGUACCUGUAUGCGAUGGGCCUAUAACCCUCUGAAUCUUUAGUAUAGC
rnacentral:rRNA from 1 species